rnacentral:rRNA from 1 species
CUAAUACAUGCAAGUCGAGCGGACCGAAAGGAGAGCUCGCUCUCCUUUCAGUCAGCGGCGGACGGGUGAGUAACACGUGGGUAACCUGCCUGUAAGACCGGGAUAACUCGCGGAAACGCGAGCUAAUACCGGAUAGGUCCUGUGGCCGCAUGGCGACGGGAGGAAAGAUGGCGCGAGCUAUCGCUUACAGAUGGGCCCGCGGCGCAUUAGCUAGUUGGUGGGGUAACGGCCCACCAAGGCGACGAUGCGUAGCCGACCUGAGAGGGUGAUCGGCCACAUUGGGACUGAGACACGGCCCAAACUCCUACGGGAGGCAGCAGUAGGGAAUCUUCCGCAAUGGGCGAAAGCCUGACGGAGCAACGCCGCGUGAACGAAGAAGGUUUUCGGAUCGUAAAGUUCUGUUGUUAGGGAAGAACAAGUACCGUUUGAAUAAGGCGGUACCUUGACGGUACCUAUCGAGAAAGCCCCGGCUAACUACGUGCCAGCAGCCGCGGUAAUACGUAGGGGGCAAGCGUUGUCCGGAUUUAUUGGGCGUAAAGCGCGCGUAGGCGGUUUCUUAAGUCUGAUGUGAAAUCUUGCGGCUCAACCGCAAGCGGUCAUUGGAAACUGGGGAACUUGAGUGCAGAAGAGGAGAGUGGAAUUCCACGUGUAGCGGUGAAAUGCGUAGAGAUGUGGAGGAACACCAGUGGCGAAGGCGA